rnacentral:rRNA from 1 species
UACGUAGGGUGCGAGCGUUGUCCGGAAUUAUUGGGCGUAAAGGGCUCGUAGGCGGUUUGUCGCGUCGGGAGUGAAAACCAGGUGCUUAACACCUGGCUUGCUUUCGAUACGGGGCAGGCUAGAGUUCGGUAGGGGGAGACUGGAAUUCCUGGUGUAGCGGUGAAAUGCGCAGAUAUCAGGAGGAACACCGGUGGCGAAGGCGGGUCUCUGGGCCGAUACUGACGCUGAGGAGCGAAAGCGUGGGGAGCGAACAGG